rnacentral:tRNA from 1 species
GGGGUAAGGGGUUACUGGAGGGCGGUCUCGAAAGCCGUUGUGCCGUAAGGUACCUAGGGUUCGAAUCCCUGUCUCUCCG